CAGAGUGAGAUGCAGAGGAUCCAUCCCUGCCUGCAGUGAAGAGGUUUCACUCCAGAGGAGGCUCUGCUGCCGCUGAGCCCCAGCCUGCCCAGCCCUGGCCUUCCCAGCACACACGUUCCAUCUACAGCAGGAGUGGGCACACGGUCCAGUUUCUGCAGAAGGAGCCAAAGCAGAGGAGAUGAAGUUCAUCCUGGUUUUAUGCCAACUUUCUUGCAGCAGUGGGAGUACAGACAACACCUGACUCAGCAGAAAGCCCUACGCUAUAAUCUAUCAAAAAAUUUUCAAAUAAAUCUGAAUUACAAGAGUGGGUUUAUAUUGAA